UUGAAUGCUAAUAUAUCAGAUUAAGCCUUUUGGCCUAAAUAAUGUGCAACAUAUUAAUUUAUUUUCUUUUGGACAUGUAUCACAUAUUCUUAUUCUACCAUAUUGCUAAAUUAGUGUUUCCACAAGGGCUGCUCUGAAAGUAAUGACUCCUUUUCUUAUGUUAGCCCAUGAAGUUAGAAGUAGAUGUUCAUCAUAUGGCUGUAGAGGUUGAAUCUUCCUAACAAUAUUCCAUUACAUUUUGUUGCUGUGUGACUGAUGGCAGCAGAGGACCAGUCUGACAAAAAGGAGUCUGAUGUGGAAAUGCAUAUCAAGCAAAGGUGCAUCACUGAAUUCCUCCACGCAGAAAAAAAAUGCAUCCAGUAAUGCUUGCUGAAUGUUUAUGGAGACCAAACAGUGCAUGCAACUGUGAUGUUCGUUGCUUUAGGGAGCCUGCGGCUUGGCCAUAUACCGAGGUGACACCAAUAUGAUGAGCGGUCAGCACGAUAGCACUGUCUCUCUAUGCUUAGGGAGAGGCCUGUCCCGUACAUCCCGUGCCCCCGCAAGACGCCUACUACAACACUUUCUUCUGAUGGGAUCAAGUGCACCCUCAACAAGUUAUGUAUAACACCAAGCCAUGUGGUGCAGUGUCAUGGUUUUGUAACUUCGCUAUUGGUAUUCCACAUCAUAACAUCAUGGACAAAAGAGAAGAACUACGUAUCCCAGAGGACCUCACAGUCAGAGAAGGAAGACACAUCACGGAAGAUACGUCAUCUGGUUGCGCGCGGUUCUUCUUCUUCUUCACUUUCGCUUGCUGCUGGGAGAGGAGUGGGUGUGCUUUCCAAGCCGG
ensembl:lncRNA